rnacentral:rRNA from 1 species
GGGUCCGCACAAGCGGUGGAGCAUGUGGUUUAAUUCGAUGAUACGCGAAGAACCUUACCUGGGCUCUAAUGCGAGUGACCGCUCCUGAAAGGGAGCUUUUCCUUCGGGACACGAAGCAAGGUGCUGCAUGGUUGUCGUCAGCUCGUGCCGUGAGUGUUGGGUUAAGUCCCGCAACGAGCGCAACCCCGUAUCUUUAGUUGCCAGCGAUUCGGUCGGGGACUCUAGAGAGACUGCCUGCGCAAGCAGAGAGGAAGGCGGGGGACGACGUCAAAUCAUCAUGGCCUUUAUGCCCAAGGGCUACACACGUGCUACAAUGGUAAGGACAAAGGGCAGCGAGCCGGCGACGGU